rnacentral:rRNA from 1 species
AGUGAACGCUGGCGGUAGGCCUAACACAUGCAAGUCGAACGGCAGCACAGUAAGAGCUUGCUCUUACGGGUGGCGAGUGGCGGACGGGUGAGGAAUACAUCGGAAUCUACUUUUUCGUGGGGGAUAACGUAGGGAAACUUACGCUAAUACCGCAUACGACCUACGGGUGAAAGCAGGGGAUCUUCGGACCUUGCGCGAUUGAAUGAGCCGAUGUCGGAUUAGCUAGUUGGCGGGGUAAAGGCCCACCAAGGCGACGAUCCGUAGCUGGUCUGAGAGGAUGAUCCGCCACACUGGAACUGAGACACGGUCCAGACUCCUACGGGAGGCAGCAGUGGGGAAUAUUGGACAAUGGGCGCAAGCCUGAUCCAGCCAUACCACGUGGGUGAAGAAGGCCUUCGGGUUGUAAAGCCCUUUUGUUGGGAAAGAAAAGCAGCAGGUUAAUACCCCGCUGUUCUGACGGUACCCAAAGAAUAAGCACCGGCUAACUUCGUG